UACGUAGGGCGCAAGCGUUAUCCGGAAUUAUUGGGCGUAAAGAGCUCGUAGGCGGUUUGUCGCGUCUGCCGUGAAAGUCCGGGGCUCAACUCCGGAUCUGCGGUGGGUACGGGCAGACUAGAGUGAUGUAGGGGAGACUGGAAUUCCUGGUGUAGCGGUGAAAUGCGUAGAUAUCGUUUGGAACGCCAAUGGUGAAAACAAGUAGCUGGGGAUGUGCCGACGCUGAGACACGAAAGCCAGGGGAGCGAACGGG
rnacentral:rRNA from 1 species